rnacentral:rRNA from 1 species
UGCCUUACGGGGCGCAGCAGUGAGGAAUAUUGGUCAAUGGGCGCGAGCCUGAACCAGCCAAGUAGCGUGAAGGAUGACUGCCCUACGGGUUGUAAACUUCUUUUAUAAAGGAAUAAAGUGAGGCACGUGUGCCUUUUUGUAUGUACUUUAUGAAUAAGGAUCGGCUAACUCCGUGCCAGCAGCCGCGGUAAUACGUAGGGAGCAAGCGUUAUCCGGAAUUAUUGGGUGUAAAGGGUGCGUAGACGGGACAGCAAGUUAGUUGUGAAAGCCCUCGGCUUAACUGAGGAACCGCAACUAAAACUAUU